UACGGAAGGCAGCAGUGGGGAAUAUUGCACAAUGGGCGAAAGCCUGAUGCAGCUAUGCCGCGUGUAUGAAGAAGGCCUUAGGGUUGUAAAGUACUUUCAUCGGGGAGGAAAAACAAAACUAAUAAUUUUAUUUCUUGACGUUACCCGAAAAAGAAGCACCGGCUAACUCCGUGCCAGCAGCCGCGGUAAUACGGAGGGUGCUAGCGUUAAUCAGAAUUACUGGGCGUAAAGAGCACGUAGGUGGUUUUUUAAAGUCAGAUGUGAAAUCCCUGGGCUUAACCUAGGAACUGCAUUUUGAAAACUGAAAUACUAGAGUAUCGUAGAGGGAGGUAGAAUUCUAGGUGGUAGCGGUGAAAUGCGUAGAUAUCUGGAGGAAUACCUGUGGCGAAAGCGGCCUCCUAAACGAAUACUGACACUGAGGUGCGAAAAGCGUGGGGAGCGAAAACAGGGAUUAGGAUACC
rnacentral:rRNA from 1 species